rnacentral:rRNA from 1 species
UACGAAGGGGGCUAGCGUUGCUCGGAAUCACUGGGCGUAAAGCGCACGUAGGCGGAUCGUUAAGUCAGGGGUGAAAUCCUGGAGCUCAACUCCAGAACUGCCUUUGAUACUGGCGACCUUGAGUUCGGGAGAGGUGAGUGGAACUGCGAGUGUAGAGGUGAAAUUCGUAGAUAUUCGCAAGAACACCAGUGGCGAAGGCGGCUCACUGGCCCGAUACUGACGCUGAGGUGCGAAAGCCAGGGGAGCAAACGGG